AUACUAGAUUUAUUCACGGUGUUUGUUAAUUGGCUUCACAAACACACGAUUUGUUUAAUUUCUGAAAACGGAAGGGAUAUAGAGUUUCAACGGAAAGUCUCUUGAAAUGUUAGAGAGCUUAGUUUCGAAGCAGAUGUUACUGAGAUGUUUCAAGAAUCACCUGAGCAUCGGAAGAAAAUGAAGUUCUCUUGUAAUGUCGUUUUUACGAGGCUGAGUCUGAAAUGAAGAGAAUUACACCAACAUUUGAACUUCUUUAACGAGCAUAUUUCAUCAGCACAUUGACAAAGAAUGACAUAUUUUCUAGAUAAAACGUAUGGAACAUUUAUUGAAAAUCAAUACUAGAAGAAUUUUUCGGAACAAAUUUAUUUCGUUAUCUAUAGCACGCAAAUAUCGCAGUCUUUACGUGUCACCUGUAGACUCGGUGGUGUAGCUUGCGACUUUAUUUCCAUUUUUUUUUUCAGGUACAAAUCAGUCAGUGCUUAGUUGAAUUCCAAAGAUUAUAUCGUGGCAAAUGAAUAAAUCUCAAUACAAUUAUGAAAAAACAACAACAUAGAUUGUGUCAGCAUUUGACAGUAAAGUAUUUUUAAAACCAGUUUAUAAAAAAAAAAAACAAACAAAAAUGGAUUUAAUCAAUUUACAAAUUGUACAUGUACUUCAUUGAUAAAGGCUUUUUUUCAUUUUGUAUAAAACACAGCGUUUUAAAUGGGGACAUGUCUACCAGUUUUGA